rnacentral:lncRNA from 1 species
AAGAUUACACGUAUUUAUGGAUACAAAAUAAAAGUAGUUACAAGAGAUAAUAGGUCUACAUUAGAUUGAGUUAUCCUAGAGGUUGUUAUGAUAAGGUUGAGUUUUCCUUUUGAUUUUGAAUCUAAUAGGAUACGAUUAUCCUUAACACUCCCAUGCAAGAUUGAGGAUCCAUCCAGGAGACCAAUCUUAGAUCUGUUGAGCUGAAAUUGAUUCUUGGACAAAACCUUUCUGAGAAGGUCAAUAAUCUGAUCCUUUGAGGAGAUGUGAGAUAUUCAAAGGGCAUUUUUUUUAACCAAAUCUCUAACAAAAUGAAUGUCAAUUUUCAGGUGUUUCAUUAUGGAGUGAAGAAUUGGAUUUUUACAUGUAUAUAUGGUAGAGAUGUUAUCACAGUAUAUUGUGGGGGUGGAAUCGAAUAACCAAUUAAUUCCUUCAAAAGAGAUUUAACCCAUUGAACCUCGAUAGCUACUGCAGCAACGGACCUAUAUUCAUCUUCAGUGGACGAUCUAGCAAGUAUCUUCUACUUUUUGAAACUCCAGUUGAUUAGAACAUGGCCAAAAUAUAAAAAGAACCCAGAGGUUGAUGUUCUAUCCGAUGGAUUACCGGCCCAAUCGACAUCAGAGAAAGCAUAAAACUUUAAAGAAGAUUGUGGAGUAAUAUGAAUACCAAAGGCAAUAAUAGAUUUCAGAUAUUUGAGAAAACGCUUAAGAGCCUGCCAAUGAUGAUGAUUAGGACAAUUCAUGAACUGGGAGAGUUUGUUAACAGUAAAAGCAAUAUCAAGCCUCGUAACAAUGAGAUUAUCCACAAACACUAAGAAAUAACAUGUAGUACCUUGACAAUAUAUGAAAAGAAAGUUAUCACUUUUUGAUUGUCGAAAGACAAACUUCAAGGUAAAUGACCGUAGCGCUUGGU